rnacentral:lncRNA from 1 species
GGACAUUCAACCAUCCAAAAGGGCAAGUGCAUGCUGUUAUGGAGUGUGAAGUGUCCCUUCACUGACUAGGCGGAUGAGGACAAGUGACUGGAUCCUAAGGGCUCUGAGCUAAUCAGUGGAUUAACCAACCCCUUGAUGGAUUUAUAAUUUGGAAGCAUGGCUUGGAGAUGCUACAAAAAGUAAGAGGCUGCUACCAGCCGGAGUAUUAGGUCGCCGUGGGUGACUCUGUGGUGUUGUAUCUUGACCUGGUCCUUCCUGUACCCAUCUCUCAGCUUCUGCCAUGAAGAAGCUUUUUCAUCCCGCCCUCCCACCUUCACGAUGCUCUGUCAAGAGAAUGGAGCCAAGCAGCCACAGACUGACGCCUCCGAAGCUG